UCCUACGGGAGGCAGCAGUGAGGAAUAUUGCGCAAUGGGGGCAACCCUGACGCAGCAACGCCGCGUGAGUGAGGAAGGUUUUCGGACCGUAAAGCUCUGUCGAGCGGGAAGAAAUGCAUGGUGGCUAAUAUCCAUCAUGCUUGACAGUACCGCUAAAGGAAGCACCGGCUAACUCCGUGCCAGCAGCCGCGGUAAUACGGGGGGUGCGAGCGUUGUUCGGAAUUAUUGGGCGUAAAGAGCGUGUAGGCGGCCGAAUAAGUCAGAUGUGAAAUCCCUGGGCUUAACCCAGGACGUGUAUUUGAAACUAUUCGGCUGGAGUAGGGGAGAGGAAAGUGGAAUUCCUGGUGUAGAGGUGAAAUUCGUAGAUAUCAGGAGGAACACCGGUGGCGAAGGCGACUUUCUGGCCCUAUACUGACGCUGAGACGCGAGAGCGUGGGUAGCAAACAGGAUUAGAUACCCUGGUAGUCCACGCUGUAAACGAUGUUCACUAGGUGUUGGGGGUAUUGACCCUCUCAGUGCCGCAGCUAACGCAUUAAGUGAACCGCCUGGGGAGUACGGUCGCAAGAUUAAAACUCAAAGGAAUUGACGGA
rnacentral:rRNA from 1 species